AGUGAACGCUGGCGGUAGGCCUAACACAUGCAAGUCGAACGGCAGCACAGGAGAGCUUGCUCUCUGGGUGGCGAGUGGCGGACGGGUGAGGAAUACAUCGGAAUCUACUUUUUCGUGGGGGAUAACGUAGGGAAACUUGCGCUAAUACCGCAUACGACCUACGGGUGAAAGCAGGGGAUCUUCGGACCUUGCGCGAUUGAAUGAGCCGAUGUCGGAUUAGCUAGUUGGCGGGGUAAAGGCCCACCAAGGCGACGAUCCGUAGCUGGUCUGAGAGGAUGAGCAGCCACACUGGAACUGAGACACGGUCCAGACUCCUACGGGAGGCAGCAGUGGGGAAUAUUGGACAAUGGGCGCGAGCCUGAUCCAGCCAUACCGCGUGGGUGAAGAAGGCCUUCGGGUUGUAAAGCCCUUUUGUUGGGAAAGAAAUCCAGCUGGUUAAUACCCGGUUGGGAUGACGGUACCCAAAGAAUAAGCACCGGCUAACUUCGUGCCAGCAGCCGCCGUAA
rnacentral:rRNA from 1 species